GAUGAACGCUGGCGGCGUGCCUAACACAUGCAAGUCGAGCGGCAGCGAGGGGUGCUUGCACCCUGUCGGCGAGCGGCGGACGGCUGAGUAACGCGUGGGAACGUGCCCCAAAGUGAGGAAUAACUGCCCGAAAGGGUAGCUAAUACCGCAUAUUAUCUUCGGAUCAAAGGAUUUAUCCGCUUUGGGAGCGGCUCGCGUCGGAUUAGGUAGUUGGUGAGGUAAUGGCUCACCAAGCCGACGAUCCGUAGCUGGUCUGAGAGGAUGACCAGCCAGACUGGAACUGAGACACGGUCCAGACUCCUACGGGAGGCAGCAGUGAGGAAUCUUCCACAAUGGGCGAAAGCCUGAUGGAGCAACGCCGCGUGCAGGACGAAGGCCUUCGGGUUGUAAACUGCUUUUAUAAGUGAGGAAUAUGACGGUAACUUAUGAAUAAAGAUCGGCUAACUACGU
rnacentral:rRNA from 1 species